rnacentral:rRNA from 1 species
AUGCAGCGGAGCCGUCCCCACACAUCCGGUGCUGACAGUGAUGAGCUUGCUGCUGCCUCAAGGCUGGAAGAUAUCAGCAGCUUGUACCGGGCUGUCAACUUCUACCAGAUGACCAAUCCUGAUGUAGCCAAGCUGUUCCACGUUGACCCGGAAGCAAAGCGCCCCUCACUAGUCAUGCUCAAGAAACAGGAGGAGGUCAAGUUGACCGUAUAUGAUGGCGAGUUCAGAGCGUCUGCGAUUGCCGAGUUUGUUUCCGCCAACAAAAUCCCAUUGAUCACAUACCGCCCUCACACAGGAAGCCGCCCCUCCGAUGUUUGA